UCCUCGGCAUUAACUGAGACG
rnacentral:piRNA from 1 species